UACGAAGGGAGCUAGCGUUGUUCGGAAUCACUGGGCGUAAAGCGCACGUAGGCGGAUUUGUCAGUCAGGGGUGAAAUCCCGGGGCCCAACCUCGGAACUGCCUUUGAUACAGCAAGUCUUGAGUUCGAGAGAGGUGGGUGGAAUUCCUAGUGUAGAGGUGAAAUUCGUAGAUAUUAGGAAGAACACCGAUGGCGAAGGCAGUUCUCUGGGCCGUAACUGACGCUGAGGAGCGAAAGCGUGGGGAGCGAACGAGG
rnacentral:rRNA from 1 species